CCUACGGGGGGCUGCAGUGGGGAAUAUUGGACAAUGGGGGCAACCCUGAUCCAGCCAUGCCGCGUGUGUGAAGAAGGCCCUCGGGUUGUAAAGCACUUUCAGUGAGGAAGAACGCCUGGUGGUUAAUACCCAUCAGGAAAGACAUCACUCACAGAAGAAGCACCGGCUAACUCCGUGCCAGCAGCCGCGGUAAUACGGAGGGUGCGAGCGUUAAUCGGAAUUACUGGGCGUAAAGCGCGCGUAGGUGGCUUGAUAAGCCGGUUGUGAAAGCCCCGGGCUCAACCUGGGAACGGCAUCCGGAACUGUCAAGCUAGAGUGCAGGAGAGGAAGGUAGAAUUCCCGGUGUAGCGGUGAAAUGCGUAGAGAUCGGGAGGAAUACCAGUGGCGAAGGCGGCCUUCUGGACUGAAACUGACACUGAGGUGCGAAAGCGUGGGUAGCAAACAGGAUUAGAUACCCGGGUAGUC
rnacentral:rRNA from 1 species